UCUCUCCCCUCCGCCGGCCCACUGCCGCUCUGCGCACGCCCGUCCAGCAGAACACCUCCGAGGAAUCAGCUGCUAGAAACAAACUUUCCCGAACUAUGUCGCGAUCCUGGCCUCCGGAGUCAGUCAGAGACAACUCAAUAGAGGACGCUAAGGCCCGCUUAAAAAAGCAUGAUCCUGGGACCAAGUAUUCUCACUUGUCGUAUAGUAAAUAUUCCAUCCUCUUACCAUUGUUGGUUAAAGAAGGAGAACUUCACCUGUUGUUCACCCUCCGCUCAGAAAAGCUCAGACGGUCACCUGGAGAGGUGUGCUUUCCUGGAGGAAAGCGCGACCCUACCGAUGUGGAUGACGUGGCCACGGCCCUCCGGGAAGCCCAGGAGGAAGUGGGGCUGCACCCUCAGCAGGUGGAGGUCGUCUGCUGCCUGGUGCCGCACGUGUUUGAUACAAACACACUGAUAACACCAGUUGUCGGGUUUAUAGACCCGGACUUCCAGGCGCAGCCUAACCCCGAUGAGGUUAAGAAUGUGUUCCUGGUGCCCCUGGAGUAUUUCCUGCGUCCACGUGCCUACCACCAGAAACACCUGACACGGUGUGGUCAUCGCAUGGUUUUUCAUUGCUUUGAGUACACAAACCCCAAAGACGGUGUGACUUACUAUAUCAAGGGAUUAACUGCAAAAUAUGCUCUCUUCGUUGCCUUAAUUAUUUUGGAAAAACACCCGACCUUUGAGAUGGAAUUUAAUCUCAACGAUCUAAUAUCAUCCUCUGAAAAAUCCUUCCUGCACUUUCAUAACCAUGCAGCAAGCAAAUUAUGAUUUAUGAGACCAACAUCCAAGCAGCUUUUGGGUGUGCUUGUCCGCAGAACAACCGUAACGCCAGCUGGUGGAGUUCGACAGGUGUCAUCACCAAUGUAAGCAACAAGCCAGUUUCCCUGGACGUUUUUCCCCAUUCCAUGAGCUGCAACAUGGAUUUAUCUGUACCCUCGCCUUGACCACACAGAUGAAGAGAACUCCUGGGGGAAUGGCAAGACCAAAAGAUGGUAAGAGCUUGGAUCUCUCAAUGACUCUGGAGCAAAGCAGCCUACCACCCUGGGCUGUUCACUUGAGAGUUGGGAUGACUACACAGGAGGACAAUAAAAUUCUGUUAUC